CCCUUCACCCAGCCAGCCAUUGGGGUACCCUCACCCAGUCGGUUCCCAAGCUGUGUGCCACAAAAUAUUUACUCAGUGGGAAACAUUACUGCUAAACAGGGACCCGGUCAAUUGCCGCGGUCCUUUAAGACUGCGUCUUGGCCCCUGUAAUGUCAGCCGCCUGGGAGGAAGUGACAGCCUGUCACUUCCUCCCAGCAUCCUGCAGGGAGACAGCGUGAGAGGAGAGGUGCAUGAAGAGCUCCAGACCAGUCACUCCCACAGCAGCAGGACGCCAAGCCACCCUCCUGGCGCAUAAGGUAAGUUAACAGGAGGGUGGCUGGAUUUUGCUUCUGUUUCUGUGCACACACAUCUGUGUAUGUACAUCUGUGUGUCAGGGUGUUUGUUUUUAUGUCAGUGUGUUUGUGUGACAUGGUGUGAGCAUGUAUCAAUGUUUGUGUGUAAGUCGGUGAUUAUAUGAAUGUGUGUGUCGGUAUAUUUAUAUGCAUCUGUGUGUUAAUGUCUGUGUGUAUGUAUGUGCAUAUAUCCAAGGAAUUAUACUCCUGCAAUCUAACACAUAUUACAUACAAACACCCCCCUGCAUUCAAACCAAAAAAAAAAAACACACCUCUUCACUCAAAGACAAAUACGCCACACAAAUGUACAUCCACAUUAAAAAGUGAACAUUACAUUCAGACACACCCAUGCAAUCAAACACAAAUAUCACAUACAAACACAACCCUGUAUUAAAACACAAUAAAAUGUAUACAAGGACCCCUUCAAACACCAACACUGUACAUUACACUGUAGCGCCAGUAAAAGUGGCUGUGCUAUACAGUUAUACAACCUAGAAAUUUUGACUUGGGGUGCCUUGGACAAAUACUGAAAUAUUAAGGGCACCUUGAACCUAAAAAGUUGAGGAACCACUGGGGUAACGAACCUGUACCCUCACCCAGUCUGUUCUGGGGGUUACCUGUACCCCGUUGCUGGCCACACCAGUUAUAGGGUCCUUUCACAACCCAG